rnacentral:rRNA from 1 species
UACGUAGGGGGCAAGCGUUGUCCGGAAUCAUUGGGCGUAAAGCGCGCGUAGGCGGCCCGGUAAGUCCGCUGUAAAAGUCCAGGGCUCAACCCUGGAACGCCGGUGGAUACUGUCGGGCUAGAGUCCGGUAGGGGAGUGUGGAAUUCCCGGUGUAGCGGUGAAAUGCGCAGAUAUCGGGAGGAACACCAGUAGCGAAGGCGGCGCUCUGGGCCGGAACUGACGCUGAGGAGCGAAAGCGUGGGGAGCGAACAGG